UAGGGAAUCUUCCGCAUUGGGCGAAAGCCUGACGGAGCAACGCCGCGUGAGUGAUGAAGGUCUUCGGAUCGUAAAACUCUGUUAUUAGGGAAGAACAAAUGUGUAAGUAACUAUGCACGUCUUGACGGUACCUAAUCAGAAAGCCACGGCUAACUACGUGCCAGCAGCCGCGGUAAUACGUAGGUGGCAACCGUUAUCCGGAAGUAUUGGGCGUAAAGCGCGCGUAGUCGGUUUUUUAAGCCUGAUGUGAAAGCCCACGGCUCAACCGUGGAGGGUCAUUGGAAACUGGAAGACUUGAGUGCAGAAGAGGAAAGUGGGAUUCCAUGUGUAGCGGUGAAAUGCGCAGAGGUAUGGAGGAACACCAGUGGCGAAGGCGACUUUCUGGUCUGUAACUGACGCUGAUGUGCGGAAGCGUGGGGAUCAAACAGG
rnacentral:rRNA from 1 species